rnacentral:rRNA from 1 species
GGGCCCGCACAAGCGGUGGAGCAUGUGGUUUAAUUCGAUGAUACGCGAGGAACCUUACCAGGGCUUAAAUGUAGUAUGACCGGCUUGGAAACAGGCCUUCUCUUCGGAGCAGAUUACAAGGUGCUGCAUGGUUGUCGUCAGCUCGUGCCGUGAGGUGUUAGGUUAAGUCCUGCAACGAGCGCAACCCCUAUUCUUAGUUGCCAGCGGUUCGGCCGGGGACUCUAAGAAGACUGCCAGCGCAAGCUGAGAGGAAGUGGGGAUGACGUCAAUCAUCACGGCCCUUACGUCCUGGGGCUACACACGUGCUACAAUGGUAGAGACAGAGAGCAGCCAAUGCGCGAGCAUGAGCAAAUCUAUAAACCUAUCUC